rnacentral:rRNA from 1 species
AGCAGCCGCGGUAAUUCCAGCUCCAAUAGCGUAUAUUAAAGUUGUUGCAGUUAAAAAGCUCGUAGUUGAAUUUCGGGGUCAGUAGGUUGGUCAUGCCACUGGUAUGUACUGGCCUCACUGAUUCCUCCUUCCUGAUGAGCCGUAAUGCCAUUAAUUUGGUGUUGCGAGGAAUCUGGACUGUUACUUUGAAAAAAUUAGAGUGUUUAAAGCAGGCUAACGCUUGAAUACAUUAGCAUGGAAUAAUGAAAUAGGACGUUCGAUCUUAUUUUGUUGGUUUCUAAGAUUGACGUAAUGAUUAAUAGGGAUAGUUGGGGGCAUUAGUAUUCAAUUGUCAGAGGUGAAAUUCUUGGAUUUAUUGAAGACUAACUACUGCGAAAGCAUUUGCCAAGGAUGUUUUCAUUAAUCAAGAACGAAAGUUAGGGGAUCGAAGACGAUCAGAUACCGUCGUAGUCUUAACCAUAAACUAUGCCGACUAGGGAUCGGAUGAUGUUAAUUUUUUAAUGACUCAUUCGGCGCCUUACG